GACGAACGCUGGCGGCGUGCUUAACACAUGCAAGUGGAGCGACGAACCAGGGCUUGCCCUGGGGCAGAGCCGCGAACGGGUGAGUAACACGUGGGUAACGUGCCCCAAUGAUCGGGACAACCCGAGGAAACCCGGGCUAAUACCGAAUGUGCUCCCCUCACACCAGUGAGGGGUGGAAAGGAAGCUUCGGCCUCCGCAUUGGGAUCGGCCCGCGGCCCAUUAGCUUGUUGGUGAGGUAACGGCUCACCAAGGCUGCGAUGGGUAGCUGGUCUGAGAGGACGAGCAGCCACACUGGGACUGAGACACGGCCCAGACUCCGACGGGAGGCAGCAGUGGGGAAUCUUGCGCAAUGCGCGAAAGCGUGACGCAGCAACGCCGCGUGGGGGAAGAAGGCCUUCGGGAUGUAAACCCCUUUCAGGAGGGACGAAGCCUCGGCCGUUAAUAGCGGACCGAGGUGACGGUACCUCCAGAAGAAGCCCCGGCUAACUACGUGCCAGCAGCCGCAGUAAAAC
rnacentral:rRNA from 1 species